ACGGAAGGCAGCAGUGGGGGAUAUUGGUCAAUGGGGGAAACCCUGAACUAGCAACGCCGCGUGAAGGAAGACGGUCUUCGGAUUGUAAACUUUUGUUGUUGAGGAAGAUAAUGACGGUACUCAACGAGGAAGCCACGGCUAACUACGUGCCAGCAGCCGCGGUAAUACGUAGGUGGCAAGCGUUGUCCGGAUUUACUGGGUGUAAAGGGUGCGUAGGCGGGUUAUAAAGUCAGAUGUGAAAUACCGAGGCUUAACUUCGGGGCUGCAUUUGAAACUUAUGAUCUUGAGUGAAGCAGAGGCAAGCGGAAUUCCUAGUGUAGCGGUGAAAUGCGUAGAUAUUAGGAGGAACACCAGUGGCGAAGGCGGCUUGCUGGGCUUUAACUGACGCUGAGGCACGAAAGCAUGGGGAGCAAACAGGAUUAGAUACCCUGGUA
rnacentral:rRNA from 1 species